UACAGAGGUGGCAAGCGUUGUUCGGAAUUACUGGGCGUAAAGGGCGCGUAGGCGGCCAUUUAAGUCAGACGUGAAAUCCCCCGGCUUAACCGGGGCAUUGCGUCUGAUACUGGGUGGCUCGAGUGCGGGAGAGGAAUGCGGAAUUCCAGGUGUAGCGGUGAAAUGCGUAGAUAUCUGGAGGAACACCGGUGGCGAAGGCGGCAUUCUGGACCGACACUGACGCUGAGGCGCGAAAGCCAGGGGAGCAAACGGG
rnacentral:rRNA from 1 species